AACGAACGCUGGCGGCAGGCUUAACACAUGCAAGUCGAGCGCCCCGCAAGGGGAGCGGCAGACGGGUGAGUAACGCGUGGGAACGUACCCUUUGCUACGGAAUAGCUCCGGGAAACUGGAAUUAAUACCGUAUGUGCCCUACGGGGGAAAGAUUUAUCGGCAAAGGAUCGGCCCGCGUUGGAUUAGCUAGUUGGUGGGGUAAUGGCCUACCAAGGCGACGAUCCAUAGCUGGUCUGAGAGGAUGACCAGCCACAUUGGGACUGAGACACGGCCCAAACUCCUACGGGAGGCAGCAGUGGGGAAGAUUGGACAAUGGGCGCAAGCCUGAUCCAGCCAUGCCGCGUGAGUGAUGAAGGCCUUAGGGUUGUAAAGCUCUUUCACCGGAGAAGAUAAUGACGGUAUCCGGAGAAGAAGCCCCGGCUAACUUCGUGCCAGCAGCCGCCGUAAAAC
rnacentral:rRNA from 1 species